UACGGGGGGAGCAAGCGUUGUUCGGAUUUACUGGGCGUAAAGGGCGCGUAGGCGGUCGUGACAAGUCACUUGUGAAAUCUCCGGGCUUAACUCGGAACGGUCAAGUGAUACUGUCGGACUAGAGUACAGAAGGGGCAACUGGAAUUCUCGGUGUAGCGGUGAAAUGCGUAGAGAUCCGGAAGAACACCGGUGGCGAAGGCGGCCUGCUGGGCAGUAGCUGACGCUGAGGCGCGACAGCGUGGGGAGCAAACAGG
rnacentral:rRNA from 1 species